UGCAUUAUUCUUUAGUUUAUACAGUUAAUUAGCUACCAUUUUAAAAAAAGGUAGCUAAUUAACUGUAUAAACUAAAGAAUAAAGCAAAAACAAA